CAAUAUAAAUGACGGGAAGAUCUCACCACCCCUAAAUUAGCCCCCGUCGAUGGGCCUCACCUAACCGGCAUUGGGGUAUAUAAGGGUUCGGCGAUCCAGGAACAGUCGAUCGCACCGACACCAGCUGAUCCGGAAUCAAGAAGUUUUGGGCAAGGAGGCCAAAAGACAUCGUAACUUAUUCCAAAUUGAAAACAAUGGACGCAUCCAAAAUUAUAAUUUGCUGUAUUCUGUGCAUUUCUUUAAUGGUUGUACUCUGUGAAUCCGCGCCCUUAGAACAUGCUUUGUCCAAGAGGCAUGCGCCUGUGGAACCCCAAAAGGAGGUUGUGAAAUCUAGAAGGCGGCGUGGGCUCGGUAGAAACGUUCGGAUCCGUCAGAUGUACGUCUGCCUCAGGCUUAUACGGGACAUAGCAGAUCACCGGAACUUUGACGACAGUUUCCUGCCGUCCUAUUGUAAACCUUUAUACUGUGCUCAGCUAGCGAGGAAUAGGGCCAAUUCCUACCCUUCCUUCUGCACAUCGGAUAAUAUUGCAAUUACCGUGAUACAGAAGUAACUUAUUUAGCUAGGUAGAUAUUAUAAUAAAUUUUCAAAGACAAUAUGAAAUCCAAAGAUCAAGGCUUUGUACUCUGUUGGUGACUCUGUUUAACCGUCCACAAUCCAUGAAAUGACUUUGCAAGAGGACGCAAAAGCAUUUACGUAUAUAUAAUUGGACUUAACGCAUGUCUCAUUAUCAAAAGGUGCAAUAUUUAGAGAAAUGUGGAAAUCAUGGAGAUACACCUUUCAAUGGUGGACAAACGACACUGAUGUCGUGCAUCCUAAUCGUGAAAUUCGUAUCUGAGUUUACUUUUUCAUUAAUGUUUGCCAUGUCAACACCUUUAAUUAAGUGUAUUGAAUCUAAUUUCAUAUAUGAAAUGUACAUUUUACAAAUGAAUGAGAUUUAAUAAUUUCUAUGAAAUGGCAUUGUUAUGUUUUAAUAAAAAUAUCAAGUUUU